rnacentral:rRNA from 1 species
UACGAAGGGGGCUAGCGUUGCUCGGAAUCACUGGGCGUAAAAGCGCACGUAGGCGGAUUGUUAAGUCAGGGGUGAAAUCCUGGAGCUCAACUCCAGAACUGCCUUUGAUACUGGCAAUCUCGAGUUCGGGAGAGGUGAGUGGAACUGCGAGUGUAGAGGUGAAAUUCGUAGAUAUUCGCAAGAACACCAGUGGCGGAAGGCGGCUCACUGGCCCGAUACUGACGCUGAGG